UACGUAGGGUGCGAGCGUUGUCCGGAAUUAUUGGGCGUAAAGAGCUUGUAGGCGGUUUGUCGCGUCUGCCGUGAAAAUCCGGGGCUCAACCCCGGACUUGCAGUGGGUACGGGCAGACUAGAGUGUGGUAGGGGAGACUGGAAUUCCUGGUGUAGCGGUGGAAUGCGCAGAUAUCAGGAGGAACACCGAUGGCGAAGGCAGGUCUCUGGGCCACUACUGACGCUGAGGAGCGAAAGCGUGGGGAGCAAACAGG
rnacentral:rRNA from 1 species